AACGAACGCUGGCGGCAUGCCUAACACAUGCAAGUCGAACGAGACCUUCGGGUCUAGUUGCGUACGGGUGCGUAACGCGUGGGAACCUGCCCUUAGGUUCGGAAUAACUCCCCGAAAGGGGUGCUAAUACCGGAUAAUGUCUUCGGACCAAAGAUUUAUCGCCUUUGGAUGGGCCCGCGUUGGAUUAGCUAGUUGGUAGGGUAAAAGCCUACCAAGGCGACGAUCCAUAGCUGGUCUGAGAGGAUGAUCAGCCACACUGGGACUGAGACACGGCCCAGACUCCUACGGGAGGCAGCAGUGGGGAAUAUUGGACAAUGGGCGAAAGCCUGAUCCAGCAAUGCCGCGUGAGUGAUGAAGGCCUUAGGGUUGUAAAGCUCUUUUACCCGGGAUGAUAAUGACAGUACCGGGAGAAUAAGCUCCGGCUAACUCCGUG
rnacentral:rRNA from 1 species